ACUUACCCCAGAACUCCUGUACCUGCUGAAGACAGAGUUGGCACCCAUAGUGGGCAGCCAGGUGAUGGAGUGGGAUUCCAGUCUCACCCCUUCGUUCCCAGUACCAUCUGAUCCAUCACUUAUGUAAUUACAGAUGGAGCCAAACUUCUCUCCCUUUAGUUUCUUGUCCCUCACUACAUAUGUAUAGCAAUGAUCUGAAAGCCGACCAAAUGCUGUCUUUCAAAACACCUUCUGAAUUGACACCGCAUUGGACAAUGCUAAAGAGAAGAGUUCAGUUGUUUUAAAGAGAGACAGAGACAGAAAGAGGUGACAAAGUGGGAGAUUCCAGUCAGCUUGGAUAUAGAUGCUUGGUAUCUAUAUCCCCAAGACUGAGAAGCCAUCCAGGAGAACCAUUGGCCUGAGGGAAGGAGGAAGCAGGCAAGCCCGUCAGUAACAAAGCUUGGCUAUUAGUUGGGAAGACAAGAUGACAUUUCUGAGUAUGACCUGGUAUAUUUAGGGAGCUCUACUGGGUAUUUAAGAGACAGCAUUUAUUCCUCUAGACUCAGGGAUAAUUUGCGAGAGAGCUCGCAGGUGGACUUUUCACUUAUGCACGCCUCAUUUGUCUUCCUCUUAUAAGGACUUGGUGGCUUACUGUGAGAACAGCUGAAUCUCCUCUCAAGAUAUACUCCUGGUGCACAUGAGAACAGAUGACAUAUUAAACCGUUUCACUUCUGUGGGGUUUAAGUCAUUAAUGUGUUAGAUUGUCAAGUACAAGAAUCAGAAUGUUAGACUUUCAUAGACAGUCUCCCUAAGGACCUUGUUAGAAGCCAUGUGUUUUCACAGUGUAUGUGGAUGCUUUAUAAGGACAGCUAUUAAAAGAUGACCAAUACAAAAGGUCAUCUUGGACACUGGGAAAGAGCUCUAGAAUCCAAAUAAAAAGCAUGUAUUGAGUUCCAGCUUGCAUCAUACCUGCUAUAUGAGCUUGGGCCAGCCAAUUGACUGCUCUGAGCCUCAGUGGCUCAAUUUGUUAAGUGGAGCAAAUCAAAAAGUCUAGGGGAUUAAAUGAGAUAUUUAUAUCUCAAAGUAUAAUACUCUUUCUUGACAUAAAAUGAUAAGGGGUGUGCCAUGGACUGAAUUAUGUCCCCCCAAAAUUCACAUUGAAGCCCUAACCAGCAAGGUGACUGUAUUUGGAGAUAGGGCUUUUAGGAGGUAAUUAGGUUAAAUAAGGUCAUACGGUUGGGGUCCUAAAUCUGAUAGGAUUGGUGGUCUUAGAAGAAGAGGAAGAGAGAGAGACAAGAGGGUCUCUCUCUCUCUCUCUUUCUCCACGUGCACACACCCAGGAAAGGCCA